GACAGAGGGUGCAAACGUUGUUCGGAAUUACUGGGCGUAAAGCGCGUGUAGGCUGCUUCGAAAGUCGGAUGUGAAAGCCCUGGGCUCAACCUAGGAAGUGCACCCGAAACUGAAUGGCUUGAGUGCGAAAGAGGGUCGCGGAAUUCCCGGUGUAGAGGUGAAAUUCGUAGAUAUCGGGAGGAACACCGGUGGCGAAGGCGGCGACCUGGGUCGACACUGACGCUGAGGCGCGAAAGCGUGGGGAGCAAACAGG
rnacentral:rRNA from 1 species